AAGUCGUAACAAGGUUUCCGUAGGUGAACCUGCGGAAGGAUCAUUACUAAUUCUUUUCUUGCUACUCUAUGUGCAAGAAAAAACACUAUCCGUCAACCAGUUGCACUUGUAAAUAUCCAAUCAUACUAUGAUUGAGGGGCGUGUUGGUUGCUCACAUGGGCAGCCACCAUGCUUCUCUACUAACGUCGUAGUGUGGUUCUUUACAUAUACUACAACCACAUAUAUUUAUAUAUCAUCUGAUCUAUAAACAUAAUCAAAACAAAAUACAACUUUCAACAAUGGAUCUCUUGGCUCUC
rnacentral:misc_RNA from 1 species